GCAAACUUGGUCAUUUAGAGGAAGUAAAAGUCGUAACAAGGUUUCCGUAGGUGAACCUGCGGAAGGAUCAUUAUUGAAUAAACUGGCUUGAUGGGUUGUCGCUGGCCUCUUGAGGCAUGUGCACGCCUGUCUUGACUCUAUUCAUCCACCUGUGCACCAAUUGUAGUUCUAUACUCUCUGAAGGUCAAGAAAGCAGGGUCUAUUGUUCAGUUGAAACAUACUGGAGUUGAGGAUUGCUCCUUAUGCUUUCCUCUGCUGACCUUUGUAGACUUGUAUUUUCUUGGGGAGAUGGAGCUAUGUCUUUUAUUAUAAACCAUGUAGUAUGUUGCCAGAAUGUAUUCAAUGGGCCAUUGUGCCUAUAAAACCUUAUACAACUUUCAGCAACGGAUCUCUUGGCUCUCGCAUCGAUGAAGAACGCAGC
rnacentral:misc_RNA from 1 species